rnacentral:antisense_RNA from 1 species
AAACAGUCAUGUGGACCUAGCCUGAGGUAGUAGCCAUAGAUGUCAGUGGCAAGACAGAAGAUUCAGUCUCUAAACAAAACCAUCAACUCUCAGAAAGCAGAGUCUAUGUCCCUGUCCCCAGAAUCUGGCUUGACUUUGCGACUUGCUUUCACCAAUCAAAUGCAGAAGAAGUGAAGUCUGGUCCUCAGGAGGUUUUGUACUCCUCUGCUGACUUUCCUGGUGUGGUAACAACGCCAUGAGUCCUAGUUAUGACUAUCUUACGUGGCCUAGUCACCUCCAUUGUCCAAGCCAAUAGGUACCCAGCCAUCACACCUAGAGUGAGGCCAUUCCAGUCUCCAGCUGAUCUGCUGUGGAUGAACAUGGCCAAGAUCAACUGAGCUUGGCUCAGAUGAGCAAGACUGCCUGGAUAACCUACAAUCUUGUUGGGCCAAGAAGACAUAUGUACAUAGAAAUCUUUGAACUUUGCUGAUAAGAGGAAGCCCAGAAUUCCAAGCCAAGUCCUUCAUUGAAUAGAUGAGGAAAAUAAAGCCAAGAGAAAAUGAUAGGCUUGAC